GGAAUCUUGCGCAAUGGAGGAAACUCUGACGCAGCCACGCCGCGUGCUGGAAGACGGCCCUAUGGGUUGUAAACAGCUUUUACCAGGGAAGAACCCGGAGGUUUCGAUCUCCGCUGACGGUACCUGGUGAAACAGCACCGGCUAACUCCGUGCCAGCAGCCGCGGUAAUACGGAGGGUGCAAGCGUUGUCCGGAAUCAUUGGGUGUAAAGGGUGCGCAGGCGGGUCAGUAAGUCGAGGGUGAAAUCUUGCCGCUUAACGGUAAAAUGGCCUUCGAUACUGCUGAUCUUGAGUCCAGAAGAGGCCGGUGGAAUUCGUGGUGUAGCGGUGAAAUGCAUAGAUAUCACGAAGAACACCAGUGGCGAAGGCGGCCGGCUGGUCUGGUACUGACGCUGAGGCACGAGAGCGUGGGGAGCGAAC
rnacentral:rRNA from 1 species